CUUCGCUCGCCGGUCAAGAGGAGGUAGUAAAACUUCUGCUCGAGCACAAUGCCUCCGUGAAUGUACAGUCGCAGAAUGGCUUUACGCCACUCUAUAUGGCAGCGCAGGAAAAUCACGAUUCGGUGGUGAAGUUGUUGUUAGCCAACGGCGCAAAUCAAAGUCUUGCCACUGAAGACGGCUUCACGCCACUGGCCGUGGCUAUGCAGCAAGGACAUGAUAAGGUCGUGGCUGUGCUCUUGGAAAGUGAUACACGCGGCAAGGUGCGAUUGCCUGCAUUGCAUAUUGCGGCCAAGAAGGACGAUGUAAAGGCCGCCACACUACUUUUGGAUAACGAUCACAAUCCCGAUGUAACUUCCAAAUCUGGCUUUACACCACUGCACAUUGCUUCCCACUAUGGCAAUCAAGCCAUUGCCACUCUACUAAUCCAAAAAGGUGCCGACGUUAACUUCGCCGCUAAGCACAACAUUAGUCCGUUGCAUGUGGCCGCCAAGUGGGGUAAAACCAACAUGGUCUCCUUGCUGUUGGAGAAGGGCGCUAAUAUUGAAGCCAAGACCCGUGACGGUCUAACGCCAUUGCAUUGUGCAGCACGUUCUGGUCACGAGCAGGUAGUCGACAUGCUACUCGAGCGCGGCGCACCGAUUAGCGCCAAAACAAAGAACGGACUCGCUCCGUUGCAUAUGGCCGCACAGGGUGAGCACGUAGAUGCCGCACGCAUUUUGCUCUAUCACCGUGCACCCGUUGACGAGGUUACGGUGGACUAUUUAACAGCGCUGCAUGUGGCUGCGCAUUGUGGACAUGUGCGUGUCGCCAAACUGCUGCUCGAUCGUAAUGCCGACGCCAAUGCACGUGCGCUUAACGGUUUCACGCCGUUACAUAUUGCAUGCAAGAAGAAUCGCAUAAAGGUGGUGGAGUUGCUGCUACGUCACGGCGCCAGUAUUAGUGCCACCACAGAGAGUGGUUUGACACCAUUGCAUGUGGCCGCUUUUAUGGGCUGUAUGAAUAUUGUCAUUUACUUGCUGCAACAUGACGCCAGCCCGGAUGUGCCGACCGUACGCGGUGAGACACCGCUACAUUUGGCUGCGCGUGCCAAUCAGACUGAUAUUAUACGCAUUUUGUUGCGCAAUGGCGCUCAGGUGGAUGCACGCGCACGCGAGCAACAAACUCCGUUGCAUAUUGCCUCUCGUCUCGGCAAUGUUGAUAUUGUAAUGCUGUUGCUGCAGCAUGGCGCUCAAGUGGAUGCCACCACCAAGGAUAUGUAUACGGCUUUGCAUAUUGCCGCCAAAGAGGGUCAGGAUGAGGUCGCUGCUGUUUUGAUCGAAAACGGCGCUGCAUUGGACGCUGCUACGAAGAAAGGCUUCACACCACUACAUUUGACCGCCAAAUAUGGUCACAUCAAGGUUGCUCAACUAUUGUUGCAAAAGGAAGCGGAUGUGGAUGCUCAAGGCAAGAAUGGCGUCACUCCGCUACAUGUCGCCUGUCAUUAUGAUAACCAAAAAGUCGCUUUAUUGUUGUUGGAGAAGGGCGCUAGUCCACAUGCUAUAGCCAAAAAUGGACAUACACCAUUGCAUAUUGCCGCUCGCAAAAAUCAAAUGGAUAUCGCUACUACUUUACUGGAAUAUGGAGCACAAGCUAAUGCUGAAAGCAAAGCCGGUUUCACACCAUUACAUUUGAGUUGCCAGGAGGGUCACGCUGAGAUAUCGAAUUUGCUCAUUGAACAUAAGGCCAGCGUAAAUCAUCCAGCCAAGAAUGGACUAACUCCGAUGCACUUGUGCGCACAAGAAGAUAAUGUAAAUGUAGCCGAAAUUCUACAACGCAAUGGCGCCAAUAUUGAUAUGGCCACCAAAGCAGGCUACACACCGUUACAUGUAGCCGCCCAUUUCGGUCAAGCAAAUAUGGUGCGCUUUUUAUUGAAUCAUGGUGCUAACGUGGAUGCGGCUACGUCAAUCGGCUAUACACCGCUGCAUCAGACAGCUCAGCAAGGACAUUGUCACAUCGUUAAUCUACUAUUGGAACAUAAGGCCAAUGCCAAUGCACAUACCGUCAAUGGACAGACACCGUUGCAUAUUGCACGCAAAUUGGGUUAUAUAAGUGUUUUGGAUUCUUUGAAAUCGAUUACAAAUGAACCAGAUGCAGCAACACAAACUCAAACCGAUGAAAAGUAUCGCGUUGUUGCACCUGAGGCAAUGCAUGAAUCCUUUAUGUCGGAUUCCGAAGAAGAAGGUGGCGAAGAUAAUAUGCUUUCCGAUCAGCCUUACCGUUAUUUGACAGUUGAUGAAAUGAAAUCUCUAGGCGAUGAUUCCUUGCCGAUCGAUGUCACACGCGACGAACGUAUCGAUUCGAAUCGCAUGAUGACCCAUAGCGCUGAGUACGCUGGCGGUGUUGGAGGUCAACCGCAACAGCAGGCCAUCGCCGAAGAGUUGAUUAGUCCACAUAAAGCACAAAUUCAUGGCGCUGGCAAAUCGAUUGUGGAUGGUAUUUAUAUGGGUAACGGGCUUAAUGAGGAACAAAAAUAUGUGGGCCGAAAACUUUCUUGGAAAAGUUUCCUUGUUUCAUUCCUCGUCGAUGCGCGUGGCGGUGCUAUGCGUGGUUGCCGCCACAGUGGUGUACGCAUGAUUAUACCAUCGCGUUCCACUUGUCAACCGACUCGUGUCACAUGUCGAUAUGUUAAACCACAACGCACUAUGCAUCCACCACAGCUAAUGGAGGGUGAAGCUUUGGCUAGCCGUGUGUUGGAACUUGGGCCAGUAUCGACCAAAUUUAUUGGCCCCGUCAUCAUGGAGGUGCCACAUUUCGCUUCAUUGCGCGGCAAAGAGCGUGAAAUUAUCAUAUUGCGCUCGGAUAAUGGAGAAACCUGGCGAGAGCAUGCAAUUGAUAAUUCGGAAGAAAUCAUACACGAUGUAAUGCAACAAUGUUUCGAACCCGAAGAAAUUGCACAACUUGAGGAGCAAGCUGGAAAUCAUGUUUGCCGUUUUGUUACCUAUGAUUUUCCACAAUACUUUGCUGUAGUCUCGCGUAUACGCCAAGAGGUGCACGCCAUCGGACCAGAGGGUGGCAUGGUAUCCAGCACUGUGGUGCCACAAGUGCAGGCCGUUUUCCCGCAAGGUGCACUCACCAAAAAGAUCAAAGUUGGCUUGCAGGUAAAUCUCUUUAAACCGCGCAAAGGUGUUGCACCAGAAAAGUUACGUAAAAUCAGCGUCAAUCAUGUACCAAAGAAGAAGCGCUUCUCACUUAUUUGGUAAAUUAAGAAAAUGCCUAAAUGAGACGCAUACAAAAUAGAGAACAAGAUCAAAUAAUUAAGUAUCUACUAGCACUAAAUAGUGAACGAUUGAUCUAUGCAUAUUUGAAAGGAAAUAUCAAUAACAAUAACUUAUUUAUCAAAAAUAUUUACCUAAGUAGAUAUAACAGAGAGGCGUUUGUAUGCCAAUAAAAAGCCAAAAAAAAAAAAAAAAAAAAAAGGAAAAUCAACCAAUUUGCAUUUAUAAAAAGAAAAACUAACAUUAUUGCAUUAUGAAGCCAAACAUAAAUUUUUUUCGAGCCACUUAAAAGUAGCAUAAAUGGAACACAGCAGUGUGAAAAAAUAAUUCGAAGUACAGGAAAUACCAGAAUAUAAAAACUUUGGUCUACAACUCUUAAUUAAUAUCGAUUAAAAUGAAAACAUAUGGCUUCAUACUAAUUCUUUCUGUAUCACAAGCAGCACACUUAGUUUAUUAUGAAAAUGCACUGAUUUCUUUGAGUACUCUUAGCAUACAAAAAAAAAGCACAGCUGUGCAGGGAAAAUAGUUGAGGAAACCUGGGUUGGUUUUCAAAGGCUACUGUUAAUUAGUUAAAACUAAAAUUUAUAAUUUUAUGAUGUCAGUUUGUUCAAAUUUAGUUAGUAGUACUUCUAGUAUUUUAAAAUAAUUAAAACUUUGAAAUGCGGCCAGCGUCAAGGUUUUUGUUUGAUAGCACCGAAUCAGGCCUUGGUAAUGGUGAACUUUAAUAUGCUAGUACUUAAUUAGUUUCCCUAUCUAGGAUCGGUCUUAACAAAACAUCGCCAGGCACUUGCCUAGUUAAGCUUAACUGAAAUUACCACUUCUCAAUACUAUGAAGAAUGUGCUCAGGAGGGAAAGGAGGACACUGGGGAAUAGUUCGGAAGGAAUGCUUCAGGCAAAAAGUUUAUUGGGAUGGUAAGAGUGGUUAAGAGUGGAUUCCAAAACUUAAUUAACCUCCCAAAAGAGAAGCGUGUAAUACUCUAACAUGUAUGCAAAAUUAAUUAUGGCGUCAAACAAAUAGUUUAGAAUUUUGGGAUGAAUGAAACAAGUAGAAGUUUUGAACUUAUUGACAUGAGGUCCGCUAAAUAUCAGGUUGGGUAAUGAGACCCUAUACAGAAGUUGGAAAAUUGCAAAUUUAUUUAGUAAAAGAUAGACAUACAUACUUUAAAUAAAAAAUGUUACAGAUAAAAAAGUGCAGGUUUUCAUAAAAAAACUUAAGAAUAUCAAAACCUUAGUUUACUACUAGUUAUUAUUAUUAAAAUUUUGCAUCAUGUUGGCAGGAAUCACUAACCCCAUUAAGAUAACAUGGUAAUCAAAAAUUAAUAUAUAUGUAGAUAUGUACUUUAUAUGUACACACAUAGAUAUAGUGUCGGACAAAACAUAUUGACGCACAUAUAUAAAUGUUAAAACACAAUUAAUAGGUUAGCUGUACUCGGCGGUAGGAGAAAAUAUUUAAGUUGGCUGGACAGUUCUGUCAAGGCUAGUCGCAGGGAAUGUACACCUUAAAUCCUAUUUUAAUACAUAUGUAUGUAUGAAUGUACGCAUAACACGACUUUUAAUAAAACUCUUGUCUAAUGAGACUUGUACUAGUAAAACAACAAUUAAACAAUUACUGGAGAAUGCUACUGUAGCGCUUCAGCUGAUAGGGCUAACAAAGACCCAGCUCCGCGCAAAAUACAGCCGCGCCUGCACCGUUGUUCAUCUUCGGACCAUUUGUGUAAACAUUCACCAAGUCCGGCAUUCUCAUGCUCUCACGCCAACCUUCGACCUCGAUUGUUAGAUAGGAAGUGCGAGGCAAAAUAUUUCAACCUUAGCCUCGCGAUGACUGGAAAGCCUAAGAGAAUGUGCUGAGGUGAUUGCAGCUCAUUACCCUUUUGCCAGUUGCGACAGGAGUAGAAAAGAUUACCAGCCAUAUUAUGUGAAUGCCAAUUAUACACUGACCUGUAAAAACUCCAACCAACAGUCAGAGCUGCAGAUUUGUAAGCGCAAGAAGUUCUUCUGACCUCCGAAUUCCACUCUAGACUAGAAGAAUCUUUAAUUGCGCAUGCCAUAGUAUACUUUUGAAAAACUUAUCUUUGUGAAAAUUGCCUGGAAUUUGAAUUUUUUAAUCAUUUGGAUUUUUCAAAAUAGUUAAUAUACAGGAUUACACUAUAAUUUCGAGCAUCUUGAUGAAACAGCCUGUAUGUACAUUAGACCUUACCACCUUACAAGCAAGCAAGUUCGGCAAAAAACAAAUUUAAAAAGGUCUACUGGAACAAUCGAAAUACGCCCUUAGAAAAAGUUUAAUGGAUUUUGGUUAGCUUUCAUUUAUUGACAAUACGGUGGUUCGGUAAGAGUGAUAGGAACUAAUAUCAGAUGGGUAAAUGCUCGAAUGGUGUGCUUGAGGUCAAUGAACUUUGGAACAAAAAACUUUUCUUCUCGAUACAAAAACAUCAUAAGAAUCGACUGAAACUCACUACUUUCGGCCAAAAAAAAACCGAAAUCGCCUUCGAAUCGAAGUACUUCCUUACUAAAGUUCAAUGAUUUUUGGCUAGCUGAAAUUAACUGACAUUAGGGUGGUAAAAACGGUAGAAAAAAAUCGUCUCCUCGAGAUAAGAACAUCGAUAAAUCAUACUUUAAGAUCGGAUUCUAAAUGCUGAAGAUAUGACGAAAAACGGAAAAAGGCAAACGCUACGUGCGGCCAAAAAAAAAUUUAUUUAUUUUUUCGAAAUUGCCUUUUCAAUUUAUUUUAGACUCAGGGUUGUAUGGUGAACCUCCUUUGUUUGCUUUAAGGUGGUACGGUCUAAUACACAUACAUACAUACAUACAUAGUUAUUAGUGAAUAGAAAAUAUGAAUAUCUUUAUCUAUCCUUAACAAUACAAUAAUAAAAGGGUUAUAAACAAAAUAUCAAUAAAAACUUACAAUACUAUUCAUAGUAUGCUAUGUUAGUUGGAAAUUUAA